GCUAGCGUAGCUUAACUAAAGCAUGACACUGAAGAUGUUAAGAUGAACCCUAGAAAGUUCCGCAGGCA
rnacentral:tRNA from 1 species